CCUACGGGUGGCAGCAGUGGGGGAUAUUGGACAAUGGGGGAAACCCUGAUCCAGCGACGCCGCGUGAGUGAAGAAGUAUUUCGGUAUGUAAAGCUCUAUCAGCAGGGAAGAAAGAAAUGACGGUACCUGAGUAAGAAGCCCCGGCUAACUACGUGCCAGCAGCCGCGGUAAUACGUAGGUGGCAAGCGUUAUCCGGAAUGACUGGGCGUAAAGGGUGCGUAGGUGGUUUAGUAAGUUGGCGGUGUAAUUCCGGGGCUCAACCUCGGCGCUACCGCCAAAACUAUUAGACUAGAGUGCAGGAGGGGUAAGUGGAAUUCCUAGUGUAGCGGUGGAAGGCGUAGAGAUUAGGAGGAACAUCAGGGGCGAAGGCGACUUACUGGACUGUAACUGACACUGAGGCACGAAAGCGUGGGGAGCAAACAGGAUUAGAUACCCUGGUAGUC
rnacentral:rRNA from 1 species